UACGAAGGGUGCAAGCGUUACUCGGAAUUACUGGGCGUAAAGCGUGCGUAGGUGGUGAGUUAAGUCUGAUGUGAAAUCCCCGGGCUCAGCCUGGGAAUGGCAUUGGAUACUGGCUCGCUAGAGUGCGGUAGAGGGUGGUGGAAUUCCCGGUGUAGCAGUGAAAUGCGUAGAGAUCGGGAGGAACAUCUGUGGCGAAGGCGGCCACCUGGACCAACACUGACACUGAGGCACGAAAGCGUGGGGAGCAAACAGG
rnacentral:rRNA from 1 species